AUGGCUUUCCACCAAAGAUCGAUUAGUUUGCCUUCUAGGCCUCACGUCAGUGAGACCGAAGUCGAGGAAGAGCUCCACCUCCUAGAAGCAAGCAUCUCUUCCUCCAGUUCCAUCAGCACGAUGUGCGAUGGUCUCAGGAGUCUUGCAAACAUCUACGAUGGUCUUGAAGAGAUUAUUUGCCUACCAAGCAACCAAGUUUGCUCCUCCCAGAAGAGGAAGAUGUUGGAUGGAGAGAUGGGAUGCUCUGUUGAGCUGUUAGAUCUCUGCAGCAACAUGCAAGAGACCUUCGCCGAGAUGGUGGUCAUCAUCCAAGAGUUGCAAGCAGCUCUAAGGAAAAGAGAUGAUGCAGCUGCUCAAGCCAAGAUCCAGUCUUUUACUCGCUUGGCGAAGAAGGCCAGGAAACAUUUCAAGAAGUCUGCCAAGAAGCCUGCAUUCGACAAGAUGGUCAUCCGAUUGACCAAGGCAAGAGAGAUCAGCAUCUCUCUGUUGGAGUCCACACUCCAUCUCUUGUUGAAGCAAAUUGAAAUGCCAAAGCAGUCUCUUGUCUGCAAGGCAUUUUACAAGAAGAAGGCAAUUGUCUGCAAGGAGGAGCAAUUGCAGGAGUUAGAGUGCAGUAUCGAAGAUCUUCAGAAUGGAGCAGGAGAUCUGUUCAGGAAAUUAGUCCAGAACAGAGUUUCUCUUUUAAACAUCUUAGCUCAUAGGUAG
rnacentral:rRNA from 1 species